GAUGAACGCUAGCGACAGGCUUAACACAUGCAAGUCGAGGGACCGGCGCACGGGUGAGUAACGCGUAUGCAACCUGCCUUUGACAGAGGGAUAGCCCAUGGAAACGUGGAUUAAUACCUCAUAGUUAAAAGUGGUCAAAGAUGGGCAUGCGUCCUAUUAGGCAGUUGGCGGGGUAACGGCCCACCAAACCGAUGAUAGGUAGGGGUUCUGAGAGGAAGGUCCCCCACACUGGUACUGAGACACGGACCAGACUCCUACGGGAGGCAGCAGUGAGGAAUAUUGGUCAAUGGUCGAGAGACUGAACCAGCCAAGUCGCGUGAGGGAUGACUGCCUAUGGGUUGUAAACCUCUUUUCUACUGGGAGAUGACAGUACAGUAGGAAUAAGCAUCGGCUAACUCCGUGCCAGCAGCCGCGGUAAUACGGAGGAUGCGAGCGUUAUCCGGAUUUAUUGGGUUUAAAGGGUGCGUAGGCGGCUUUAUAAGUUAGUGGUAAAAUUUCGGAGCUUCACUCCGGUCCGCCAUUAAAACUGUAGAGCUAGAGAAUGGACGAGGUAGGCGGAAUAAGUUAAGUAGCGGUGAAAUGCAUAGAUAUAACUUAGAACUCCGAUAGCGAAGGCAGCUUACCAGACCAACUGACGCUGAUGCACGAGAGCGUGGGUAGCGAACAGGAUUAGAUACCCUGGUAGUCCACGCCGUAAACGAUGCUCACCGGCCCUUAGCGAGUUAGGGGUUAAUUGAAAGAAUUAAGUGAGCCACCUGGGGAGUACGUCGGCAACGAUGAAACUCAAAGGAAUUGACGGGGGCCCGCACAAGCGGAGGAACAUGUGGUUUAAUUCGAUGAUACGCGAGGAACCUUACCUGGGUUUAAAUGUACAAGGUGCUGCAUGGUUGUCGUCAGCUCGUGCCGUGAGGUGUCGGGUUAAGUCCCAUAACGAGCGCAACCCUUACCGUUAGUUGCUAACAUAUGAGCACUCUAGCGGGACUGCCACCGUAAGGUGGAGGAAGGGGGGGAUGACGUCAAAUCAGCACGGCCCUUACAUCCAGGGCGACACACGUGUUACAAUGGCCAUCAGCGGGUAGCUACCGGGUGACCGGAUGCAAAUCUCGAUGGUCUAAGUUCGGAUGGAGUCUGCAACCCGACUCCAGAAGUUGGAUUCGCUAGUAAUCGCGCAUCAGCCAUGGCGCGGUGAAUACGUUCCCGGGCCUUGUACACACCGCCCGUCAAGCCAUGGAAGCUGGGAGUACCUGAAGUCCGUAUCGGCCUAGGGUAAUACCGGUAACUGGGGCUAAGUCGWAACAAGGUAGCCGUACCGGAAGG
rnacentral:rRNA from 2 species